AGGAAGGAUCAUUUCAUUUUCUGUCAUCCUGUUCUGGUGCCCGUAGCACCCGCCAUGAUUGCGCCUUGUUGGAUACCCGGAUUGGCUGCCUGUCCGUAUUUGCUUGGCACCACCCUACAUCGCCUCCUUCUAGGAAAACUAUACUGGUGUAUCUCGUGCACCAACCAGUUCAUCCAAAAUCAUGAAAUCUCGCAAGAGUAAUCUCCCAUCACUGGACCUUACCGAGUGUGCUGCUGAUGCUGUUCAUGGUAUGGAUGACAGGUAAGGUGGCACAGCAUGCCGCGUGCGUGCAUGCACCCAACCCUGGAUCAGUGAGAAGGAAUGUUUGAAAGUUGAAGUCCGGCACUAACCCUGUUGAAGCACCUGGCAUGUUGCAUCAUCAUAUGACAGUUCUGUCCUUGCACUCGGCCCUGCUGAUGAGGUUGAUGCUCUCGCCGAUUUGGACCACACGGGAGAGCGAGCGUGUCUCCCGAAGCUUACACCGUGAAAUUCUCCGAUACAGCUCAGACCGUCUGACGCCUCUACAACCACAGCGUGAUUGGCUGCACACAUAAUACAUUGGUACAUAGGGCAUGCAUGCUGGUGUAUAGAAGUAUAGAAUAAGGCAAUUAUAAUGCUGCUGCUGAGUACACUAUCAUUCAUCAUCUAAUGGAGCUGGGUAGUAUAAUCCUGAUAUUGUAGGGCACCUGUCGUCCCUGUCCGCGUACGGACAUGUGCACGUGGCACGUUGAUUUUUGGGUUCAAAGUACGAUACAAUGGGCAUGGCUUGUCCUAAACAGUCGAUGGGGGAACCUUGUGCAGUUGCUGACAGCGGACGGGCUACUGCUGAUAAUCGAGUGCCUCUACUACAGUGCAAAUCGACAGAGGGCUUCUGUGUCCUGACGUAUCCAGCCGCUGAAUUGAAGCUCGCUGGAGUCGCCGAAUUGAAAAGGCCACAUACAGAUACGUACAGCUCAGGCAUUAUUGAUGCUCGACAAAACAAAUAUAUAUUAUACUUGCAUUGGCUGCUGAAGAUGGGCCAUUCUCUUCUACACCUCUGGAUUGAAGGCAGGUGUAAGGAUUGUACAGUCGGAACAGCACAUCAUAAUGGAGGAUUUGCACUGAAGUUACUCUCACUCUAUUUUUCGUUUCUUCGGAUAUAUGAGAGCUUCACAAAUUAUGUUCUUUUAGCAACACCUUUGGAAAUGCGCUAAACUCAAAACUGGAGAAGGAAAUGAAGUAGAAAGAUUGGAGGGCGAUUUGUUCUUUUGUGCUGGACACAACACCUAACUGCUAGGGAUAAGAAGAAGAAAACUCGGACACAUAGAAGAUAAAAACAUAAGAUAAAAACUCAGGGACAUGUAGAAGAUAGAAAAUGAAACUCAAUGGAAUGCAGGAGAUCAAGUAUUAUCAUAGGAUCACGGAAGGGACGAGUGGAAAGUUGGAAACCCCCAGAGGACAUAAGGUAUUGCCUCUUUAUGCCCAUGGAAAAUUUUCAGUUUUAAUGAAUAGCUUUAUAUGAUAUUUGUAUAUAACUCGAUUGAUUUUUUCCCCCUUAAAGUUGUAA